CUUCAACAAGGCACAGCUUUCUCAGCUUCCUUGGGAAAGGUAAAAUGAGAGGGAAGCUUGCAGCUUAGAGGUGAGCUCUGCCUCAUGGCAACCAGAGCUGAUGUCACAAUGGCAGCCAAUUCUAUGCUGAUAGUAGGUGGAAAGAUGAAACAAGUUCGGGCCAUGGAAGUGGAUGGAUCAAGAGACCAAGCACUCACUGGUCCCUAAAGGGGCAGCACUAGAAUACAUACCAGUUUCACCAUAGCUUUCAGAAGGACAACAGCAGAAGCCAGGGCAUGUGCUUCACUGAGGCUGUUAUUCUGCUGGGGAUGGCAUUACCUGCCCAAUCCAAACAUCAGUGAUGUCCACUCCUACCUAACCAGAGGAAACCAGUAUGAUCCAGAUCUUCAACAGCAGCCUUUAUCUUUUCUCAACCAAGAGUACAGUGUCCCUUGUAAACUAAUCCAGUGGACGCCUUUGAUUACUUUUUCUCACAACUCCAGAUAGAGGUACCUGUUUAUACUCUCCGAACAUUCUGCCAGCAUCUUUCCCCAUCCCCCUUCUACCUGCCUUACACACAU